AGCAGGCGCGUAAAUUGCCCGAAUCCUGACACAGGGAGGUAGUGACAAGAAAUAACGAUACAGGGCUACAUCUAGUCUUGUAAUUGGAAUGAGUACAAUUUACAUCUCUUAACGAUGGUCAAUUGGAGGGCAAGUCUGGUGCCAGCAGCCGCGGUAAUUCCAGCUCCAAUAGCGUAUAUUAAAGUUGUUGCAGUUAGAACGCUCGUAGUCGGAUUUCGGGGCGUUCCGACCGGUCUGCCGAUGGGUAUGCACUGGCCGGAGUGUCCUUUUUGCCGGAGACCGUGCCUACUCUUAACUGAGCGGGGGCGGGAGACGGCACUUUUACUUUGAAAAAAUCAGAGUGUUUCAAGCAGGCAGCUCGCUCUUGCAUGGAUUAGCAUGGGAUAAUGAAAUAGGACUUUGGUGCUAUUUUGUUGGUUUCGAACACCGAAGUAAUGAUGAGAAGGGGCAGUCAGGGGCACUCGUAUUCCGCAGAGAGAGGUGAAAUUCUCAGACCCGCGGAAGACGAACCACUGCGAAAGCAUUUGCCAGGGAUGUUUUCACUGAUCAAGAACGAAAGUUAGGGGAUCGAAGAUGAUCAGAUACCGUCGUAGUCUUAACCAUAAACCAUGCCGACUAGGGAUUGGAGGAUGUUCACUGAUUGACUCCUUCAGCACCUUACGGGAAACUAAAGUCUUUGGGUUCCGGGGGGAGUAUGGUCGCAAGGCUGAAACUUAAAGGAAUUGACGGAAGGGCACCACCAGGUGUGGAGCCUGCGGCUUAAUUUGACUCAACACGGGGAAACUUACCAGGUCCGGACAUUGUGAGGAUUGACAGAUUGAGAGCUCUUUCAUGAUUUAAUGGGUGGUGGUGCAUGGCCGUUCUUAGUUGGUGGAGUGAUUCGUCUGGUUAAUUCCGUUAACGAACGAGACCUUAGCCUGCUAAAUAGUGACGCGAACUCUUUGUUGGCGGUCCACUUCUUAGAGGGACAACUUGUCUUCAACAAGUGGAAGUUUGAGGCAAUAACAGGUCUGUGAUGCCCUUAGAUGUUCUGGGCCGCACGCGCGCUACACUGAUGCACUCAACGAGUCUCCACCUUGACCGAGAGGUCCGGGAAACCUUCGAACUUGCAUCGUGAUGGGGAUAGAUUAUUGCAACUAUUAAUCUUCAACGAGGAAUACCUAGUAGGCGCAUGUCAUCAGCGCGCGUUGA
rnacentral:rRNA from 1 species